GGGUUGUGAGGUUAAGCGACUAAGCGUACACGGUGGAUGCCCUGGCAGUCAGAGGCGAUGAAGGGCGUGCUAAUCUGCGAUAAGCGCCGGUAAGGUGAUAUGAACCGUUAUAACCGGCGAUACCCGAAUGGGGAAACCCAGUGUGACUCGUCACACUAUCAUUAACUGAAUCCAUAGGUUAAUGAGGCGAACCGGGGGAACUGAAACAUCUAAGUACCCCGAGGAAAAGAAAUCAACCGAGAUUCCCCCAGUAGCGGCGAGCGAACGGGGAGGAGCCCAGAGCCUGAAUCAGCAUGUGUGUUAGUGGAAGCGUCUGGAAAGGCGCGCGAUACAGGGUGACAGCCCCGUACACAAAAGCGCAUGUGCUGUGAGCUCGAUGAGUAGGGCGGGACACGUGGUAUCCUGUCUGAAUAUGGGGGGACCAUCCUCCAAGGCUAAAUACUCCUGACUGACCGAUAGUGAACCAGUACCGUGAGGGAAAGGCGAAAAGAACCCCGGCGAGGGGAGUGAAAAAGAACCUGAAACCGUGUACGUACAAGCAGUGGGAGCACAGGUUUACCUGUGUGACUGCGUACCUUUUGUAUAAUGGGUCAGCGACUUAUAUUCUGUAGCAAGGUUAACCGCAUAGGGGAGCCGGAGGGAAACCGAGUCUUAAUUGGGCGUUAAGUUGCAGGGUAUAGACCCGAAACCCGGUGAUCUAGCCAUGGGCAGGUUGAAGGUUGGGUAACACUAACUGGAGGACCGAACCGACUAAUGUUGAAAAAUUAGCGGAUGACCUGUGGCUGGGGGUGAAAGGCCAAUCAAACCGGGAGAUAGCUGGUUCUCCCCGAAAGCUAUUUAGGUAGCGCCUCGUGAAUUCAUCUCCGGGGGUAGAGCACUGUUUCGGCUAGGGGGCCAUCCCGGCUUACCAACCCGAUGCAAACUGCGAAUACCGGAGAAUGUUAUCACGGGAGACACACGGCGGGUGCUAACGUCCGUCGUGAAGAGGGAAACAACCCAGACCGCCAGCUAAGGUCCCAAAGUCAUGGUUAAGUGGGAAACGAUGUGGGAAGGCCCAGACAGCCAGGAUGUUGGCUUAGAAGCAGCCAUCAUUUAAAGAAAGCGUAAUAGCUCACUGGUCGAGUCGGCCUGCGCGGAAGAUGUAACGGGGCUAAACCAUGCACCGAAGCUGCGGCAGCGACGCUGAUGCGUUGUUGGGUAGGGGAGCGUUCUGUAAGCCUGUGAAGGUGGCCUGUGAGGGUUGCUGGAGGUAUCAGAAGUGCGAAUGCUGACAUAAGUAACGAUAAAGCGGGUGAAAAGCCCGCUCGCCGGAAGACCAAGGGUUCCUGUCCAACGUUAAUCGGGGCAGGGUGAGUCGACCCCUAAGGCGAGGCCGAAAGGCGUAGUCGAUGGGAAACGGGUUAAUAUUCCCGUACUUGGUGUUACUGCGAAGGGGGGACGGAGAAGGCUAUGUUGGCCGGGCGACGGUUGUCCCGGUUUAAGCGUGUAGGCUGGUUUUCCAGGCAAAUCCGGAAAAUCAAGGCUGAGGCGUGAUGACGAGGCACUACGGUGCUGAAGCAACAAAUGCCCUGCUUCCAGGAAAAGCCUCUAAGCAUCAGGUAACAUCAAAUCGUACCCCAAACCGACACAGGUGGUCAGGUAGAGAAUACCAAGGCGCUUGAGAGAACUCGGGUGAAGGAACUAGGCAAAAUGGUGCCGUAACUUCGGGAGAAGGCACGCUGACAUGUAGGUGAAGUGAUUUACUCACGGAGCUGAAGUCAGUCGAAGAUACCAGCUGGCUGCAACUGUUUAUUAAAAACACAGCACUGUGCAAACACGAAAGUGGACGUAUACGGUGUGACGCCUGCCCGGUGCCGGAAGGUUAAUUGAUGGGGUCAGCGCAAGCGAAGCUCCUGAUCGAAGCCCCGGUAAACGGCGGCCGUAACUAUAACGGUCCUAAGGUAGCGAAAUUCCUUGUCGGGUAAGUUCCGACCUGCACGAAUGGCGUAAUGAUGGCCAGGCUGUCUCCACCCGAGACUCAGUGAAAUUGAACUCGCUGUGAAGAUGCAGUGUACCCGCGGCAAGACGGAAAGACCCCGUGAACCUUUACUAUAGCUUGACACUGAACAUUGAGCCUUGAUGUGUAGGAUAGGUGGGAGGCUUUGAAGUGUGGACGCCAGUCUGCAUGGAGCCGACCUUGAAAUACCACCCUUUAAUGUUUGAUGUUCUAACGUGGACCCGUUACCCGGGUUGCGGACAGUGUCUGGUGGGUAGUUUGACUGGGGCGGUCUCCUCCUAAAGAGUAACGGAGGAGCACGAAGGUUGGCUAAUCCUGGUCGGACAUCAGGAGGUUAGUGCAAUGGCAUAAGCCAGCUUGACUGCGAGCGUGACGGCGCGAGCAGGUGCGAAAGCAGGUCAUAGUGAUCCGGUGGUUCUGAAUGGAAGGGCCAUCGCUCAACGGAUAAAAGGUACUCCGGGGAUAACAGGCUGAUACCGCCCAAGAGUUCAUAUCGACGGCGGUGUUUGGCACCUCGAUGUCGGCUCAUCACAUCCUGGGGCUGAAGUAGGUCCCAAGGGUAUGGCUGUUCGCCAUUUAAAGUGGUACGCGAGCUGGGUUUAGAACGUCGUGAGACAGUUCGGUCCCUAUCUGCCGUGGGCGCUGGAGAACUGAGGGGGGCUGCUCCUAGUACGAGAGGACCGGAGUGGACGCAUCACUGGUGUUCGGGUUGUCAUGCCAAUGGCACUGCCCGGUAGCUAAAUGCGGAAGAGAUAAGUGCUGAAAGCAUCUAAGCACGAAACUUGCCCCGAGAUGAGUUCUCCCUGAGACUUAGAGUCUCCUGAAGGAACGUUGAAGACGACGACGUUGAUAGGCCGGGUGUGUAAGCGCAGCGAUGCGUUGAGCUAACCGGUACUAAUGAACCGUGAGGCUUAACCUUACAACGCCGAAG
rnacentral:rRNA from 1 species